rnacentral:rRNA from 1 species
CCUACGGGAGGCAGCAGUGAGGAAUAUUGGUCAAUGGCCGGAAGGCUGAACCAGCCAUGCCGCGUGAAGGUCAGUGCCCUAUGGGCGUUAAACUUCUUUUGUGCGGGAGCAAUAAUGGUCACGUGUGGCCAGACGAGAGUACCGUACGAAUAAGCAUCGGCUAACUCCGGGCCAGCAGCCGCGGUAAUACGGGGGAUGCAAGCGUUAUCCGGAUUUAUUGGGUUUAAAGGGUGCGUAGGCUGUGAGGUAAGUCAGCGGUGAAAUGCCCCCGCUCAACGGGGUGAAGUGCCAUUGAUACUGCCUUGCUUGAAUGCGGAUGCCGUGGGAGGAAGGUGUUGUGUAGCGGUGAAAUGCAUAGAUAUCACACAGAACACCGAUUGCGAAGGCAUCUCACGAAUCCGCGAUUGACGCUGAUGCACGAAAGCGUGGGUAUCAAACAGGAUUAGAUACCCCUGUAGUC